rnacentral:rRNA from 1 species
CAGCCGCCGCGGUAAUACGAAGGGGGCUAGCGUUGCUCGGAAUUACUGGGCGUAAAGGGAGCGUAGGCGGACAUUUAAGUCAGGGGUGAAAUCCCGGGGCUCAACCUCGGAAUUGCCUUUGAUACUGGGUGUCUUGAGUAUGAGAGAGGUAUGUGGAACUCCGAGUGUAGAGGUGAAAUUCGUAGAUAUUCGGAAGAACACCAGUGGCGAAGGCGACAUACUGGCUCAUUACUGACGCUGAGGCUCGAAAGCGUGGGGAGCAAACAGGAUUAGAGACCCCCGUAGUCCCUGUCUCUUAUAU